rnacentral:rRNA from 1 species
CCACGUUAAACGGCCGCGGUACCCUAACCGUGCGAAGGUAGCACAAUCACUUGUUCUUUAAAUUAGGACCAGUAUGAAUGGCCCCACGAGAGCUAUACUGUCUCCCCCCUUUAAUCAAUGAAACUGAUCUCCUCGUGAAGAAGCGAGGAUAACCAUAUAAGACGAGAAGACCCCAUGGAGCUUUAAACUUGUGUCACUGACUUACAUAAAUCAACAAGCUUUGACAAGUAAUGACCACAAGUCUUUCGGCUGGGGCGACCACGGAGAAAAACUAAACCUCCAUGAUGAAAGGAACAAUCCUAAUCAAAGAGCUACUGCUCAACGAAUCAAUAAACUGACAUAUUGACCCAAACAUUUUUGACCAACGAACCAAGUUACCCUGGGGAUAACAGCGCAAUCCAUUUCAAGAGACCCCAUCAACAAAUGGGCUUACGACCUCGAUGUUGGAUCAGGGUAUCCCAGUGGUGCAGCCGCUACUAAAGGUUCGUUUGUUCAACGAUUAAAACCCUACGUGAUCU